GAUGAACGCUGGCGGCGUGCCUAAUACAUGCAAGUCGAGCGAACGGACGAGAAGCUUGCUUCUCUGAUGUUAGCGGCGGACGGGUGAGUAACACGUGGAUAACCUACCUAUAAGACUGGGAUAACUUCGGGAAACCGGAGCUAAUACCGGAUGAUAUUUUGAACCGCAUGGUUCAAAAGUGAAAGACGGUCUUGCUGUCACUUAUAGAUGGAUCCGCGCUGCAUUAGCUAGUUGGUAAGGUAACGGCUUACCAAGGCAACGAUGCAUAGCCGACCUGAGAGGGGGAUCGGCCACACGGGAACUGAGACACGGUCCAGACUCCUACGGGAGGCAGCAGUAGGGAAUCUUCCGCAAUGGGCGAAAGCCUGACGGAGCAACGCCGCGUGAGUGAUGAAGGUCUUCGGAUCGUAAAACUCUGUUAUUAGGGAAGAACAUAUGUGUAAGUAACUGUGCACAUCUUGACGGUACCUAAGCAGAAAGCCACGGCUAACUACGU
rnacentral:rRNA from 1 species